rnacentral:rRNA from 1 species
UACGUGCCAGCAGCCGCGGUAAUACGGAGGGUGCGAGCGUUAAUCGGAAUAACUGGGCGUAAAGGGCACGCAGGCGGUGACUUAAGUGAGGUGUGAAAGCCCCGGGCUUAACCUGGGAAUUGCAUUUCAUACUGGGUCGCUAGAGUACUUUAGGGAGGGGUAGAAUUCCACGUGUAGCGGUGAAAUGCGUAGAGAUGUGGAGGAAUACCGAAGGCGAAGGCAGCCCCUUGGGAAUGUACUGACGCUCAUGUGCGAAAGCGUGGGGAGCAAACAGGAUUAGAUACCCUGGUAGUCCACGCUGUAAACGAUGUCGAUUUGGGGGUUGAACUUUAAGUUUGGCGCCCGUAGCUAACGUGAUAAAUCGACCGCCUGGGGAGUACGGCCGCAAGGUUAAAACUCAAAUGAAUUGACGGGGGCCCGCACAAGCGGUGGAGCAUGUGGUUUAAUUCGAUGCAACGCGAAGAACCUUACCUGGUCUUGACAU